UACGGAGGGUGCAAGCGUUAUCCGGAUUUAUUGGGUUUAAAGGGUGCGCAGGCGGACUGGUAAGUCAGCUGUGAAAGUUUACGGCUCAACCGUGGAAUUGCAGUUGAUACUGUUGGUCUUGAGUAUACUUGAGGUGGGCGGAAUUUGUGGUGUAGCGGUGAAAUGCUUAGAUAUCACAAAGAACUCCAAUUGCGAAGGCAGCUCACUGGGGGAUGACUGACGCUGAGGCACGAAGGUGUGGGGAUCAAACAGG
rnacentral:rRNA from 1 species